rnacentral:rRNA from 1 species
CCUACGGGAGGCUGCAGUGAGGAAUAUUGGUCAAUGGGCUUACGCCUGAACCAGCCAAGUCGCGUGAGGGAAGACUGCCCUAUGGGUUGUAAACCUCUUUUGUCAGGGAGAAAAGCCGGCUACGUGUAGCCGGACUGAGAGUCCCUGAAGAAAAAGCAUCGGCUAACUCCGUGCCAGCCGACGCGGUAAUACGGAGGAGGCGAGCGUUAUCCGGAUUUAUUGGGUUUAAAGGGUGCGUAGGUGGAAUGCCAAGUCAGCGGUAAAAUCGCGGGGCUCAACCUCGCUCCGCCGUUGAAUCUGGCGUUCUUGAGUGGGCGAGAAGUAUGCGGAAUGCGUGGUGUAGCGGUGAAAUGCAUAGAUAUCUCGAAGAACACCGAUUGCGAAGGCAGCAUACCGGC